rnacentral:rRNA from 1 species
UACGUAGGGUGCGAGCGUUGUCCGGAAUUACUGGGCGUAAAGAGCUCGUAGGUGGUUUGUCGCGUUGUUCGUGAAAUCUCACGGCUUAACUGUGAGCGUGCGGGCGAUACGGGCAGACUAGAGUACUGCAGGGGGAGACUGGAAUUCCUGGUGUAGCGGUGGAAUGCGCAGAUAUCAGGAGGAACACCGGUGGCGAAGGCGGGUCUCUGGGCAGUAACUGACACUGAGGAGCGAAAGCGUGGGGAGCGAACAGG